rnacentral:rRNA from 1 species
CCUACGGUGGGCAGCAGUGGGGAAUAUUGGGCAAUGGGCGCAAGCCUGACCCAGCAACGCCGCGUGAAGGAAGACGGCUUUCGGGUUGUAACCUUCUUUUAAGAGGGAAGAGAAGAAGACGGUACCUCUUGAAUAAGCCACGGCUAACUACGUGCCAGCAGCCGCGGUAAUACGUAGGUGGCAGGCGUUGUCCGGAUUUACUGGGUUGAAAGGGAGUGCAGCCGGGAAGACAAGUCAGAUGUGAAAUCCCGCGGCUCAACCGCGGAACUGCAGUUGAAACUGUGUUUCUUGAGUACCGGAGAGGUCAUCGGAAUUCCUUGUGUAGCGGUGAAAUGCUGAGAUAUAAGGAAGAACACCAGUGGCGAAGGCGGAUGACUGGACGGCAACUGACGGUGAGGCGCGAAAGCGUGGGGAGCAAACAGGAUUAGAUACCCGAGUAGUC